rnacentral:rRNA from 1 species
CCUACGGGAGGCAGCAGUGGGGAAUAUUGCACAAUGGGGGAAACCCUGAUGCAGCGACGCCGCGGGAGUGAAGAAGUAUUUCGGUACGUAAAGCGCUAGCAGCAGGGAAGAAAAUGACGGUACCUGACUAAGAAGCCCCGGCUAACUACGUGCCAGCAGCCGCGGUAAUACGUAGGGGGCAAGCGUUAUCCGGAUGUACUGGGGGUAAAGGGAGCGUAGACGGCAGCGCAAGUCUGAAGUGAAAUCCAAUGGCUUAACCAUGGAACGGCUUUGGAAACUGUGCAGCUGGAGUGCAGGAGAGUUCAGCGUACUUCCUCGUGUCGCGGUUACCUGCGUAGAUCUUAGGUGGACCCCCAGUGGCG